rnacentral:lncRNA from 1 species
CUCAGACAUAAGCCACCCUUUUUACAAGCAUUGAAUUCAAUUUACUUUUAUAUGCUGUUUAGAAAAAAAAAAUAAAAGCACACAAUUCCAAAAUGCCUUCAAGUGGCUGAUGGAGGGAGCAGGCACAAGUUCAGGCAAAAGCCGUUAUUCCUGCCGCGUGCUGUUACCCGGUGGGAAACUGACUAGGCGGAGUUCAGCAGAAAUGGCUCCAAAUAUCUGGGAGAGAUGGGACUGCGUGGAGAUGAACAACAUCCUCCAUCCAGGUCCUGACAAUGUUCUCAGUACUCUGCCAGGGGGUAACAUUUCUACUGGGAUCUCUGAAGUGUAUACGAUUUAUUAG